GACUGUGAUAAACUGUGUCUCGGGGAAGACGAAGGAGUGCUGUCCUCCGCCCCACCUCAGCAUGUCCCUGGCUUCAAUCACGUGCACUCUGGGCUGGUAGCGAUGCAGCGAGUGGAGGAUGAUCUAGAAAAUAAAGGCGAGGAAGAAAGAUGUCAGGGCGCUGGAAAUAAGACCCACCUGUGACGUAGAGGUCUGCUUUGAUACCUUUCAGCACUGAGGCUCCCGAUCCAGCGCACACAGCCACAGUGUGAACAAACGACUCUGGGAACGACGCAAAGAGUUGUCGUGGAAAGGCUCCCAGCACGCCACGCCACCCCGCCUGGAUGCUGCGAGUUUGUCAGAUCAGGGGAGGUGUGGCUGCCUGCUUGCAUCCAGUCUUGGUUAUGAUGCGCAGGGAGGAGUCAGAGGAGUGACCGCAGGACAGCAGGACGUGGGAGGUGGGGAGCUUAAACCAUACCCUGUUUUGAGCCCAGAGGUGACAUCAUGAUGCAAAUAAUCCUGCCACCUUGGCCUGGCACAAGUAAGAGUACACCAUCGGUUUAAGAAUGGCCUGUUUCCAGCCCACUAUCGAACAUGCUUUUUAUCUACUGCAAGUAACAACCGUCAGCUUAUUUCAGACACCAGUCAUGACCUGUUAGCAAAUAAGAAACAAUUCUAUGGCUGAAACCUUGCCAAAAAUGUCAAUAAUAUAUUUGGAAUUUUUAAAUAGAUCAAUGACAUUGUAUUUCAAGCCCAUAUUAAAACAAAAGGGGAACAUAAACCCAUAUAAUUGGUAGAAAACAUUGUGAAUGUUAUAUAUAAAUGUGUGUAUGUAUAUAUACAUAUUCAGAUGUAUGUUAUAAAAAAUCAACACAAAUUAAAACUUUAAAAAACGUUAUUUACUUUGUCCUUCUUAGUACAAUAAUUGGCUCAAUAGAGAAAUAAAAAAGUAUUUAGGAAUGUAUGUUUCCCCAUCUCUACGAAAUAAUAUUUAUAAAAGACACAUUUUUAACAAUUUUUUCAAAUAUAUUUGGGUAUAUACUGUAUAUGUAAUUAGGGAUGUUCGAUAAUGGCUUUUUGCCGAUAUCCGAUAUUCCGAUAUUGUCCAACUCUUUAAUUACCGAUACCGAUAUCAACCGAUAUAUGCAGUCGUGGAAUUAACACAUUAUUAUGCCUAAUUUGGACAACCAGGUAUGGUGAAGAUAAGGUACUUUAAAAAAAUAAAAUAAAAAUAAGAUGAAUAAAUUAAAAACAUUUUCUUGAACAAAAAAGAAAGUAAAACAAUAUAAAAACAGUUACAUAGAAACUAGUAAUUAAUGAAAAUGAGUAAAAUUAACUGUUAAAGGUUAGUACUAUUAGUGGAGCAGCAGCACGCACAAUCAUGUGUGCUUACCGACUGUAUCCCUUGCAGACUGUAUUGAUAUAUAUUGAUAUAUAAUGUAGGAACCAGAAUAUUAGUAACAGAAAGAAACAACCCUUUUGUGUGAAUGAGUGUCAAUUAAAAAAAAUAAAAAUAAUAUACCGAUAAUAAAAAAAACGAUACCGAUAAUUUCCGAUAUUACAUUUUACCGCAUUUAUCGGACAUCCCUAAAUGUAAUGAUAAACCAACAUAACAAUACUAAAUAAAACACCUUUGAAAAUAACUAUAAUCAUGUACAUUUUCCUUCUUACGACAGUAAUUGACUUUAUGUGGAAAUGAAAAUGAUAAAAGUAUGGUUGUACAAUCUCUACAGAUAGAAAAUAUGAUCAUAACUAAAGAGUAAUGUUUUUGACAUAUUUAUAUAAUUAUCAAAUGAAACAAAAAUACAAAGAAAAAUGUUGAUAUACAUUUACAAUGGAAUUUAGAAGCAAUUAAAAUGAUAGAAAAAUAUAUGUUUACAU